rnacentral:miRNA from 1 species
AGCUGUUUUGGGACUCCUACUCCCAUCAUCCCUAGCUAGCAGGACCAGUGGUCAGGGAUGCUGGGAGUUGCAGUCCCAAAACAGCU